rnacentral:lncRNA from 1 species
GUCGGGCUGGCAGCCUGUGUGACAAGAGUCGGGCCCCUCGGCUGAGGCGGCGGCUCUUCCACCGGCUGUGCGCGAGCGAGCGGGCGAGCCGGCGAGCCGGCGAGCGCGGGCCGAUCCGUUUUCUUCCAAAAGGAAAAUAAUUUACGCCCGUUGGGUUGUGGUCUUAAGUCCUCUUCGGGAGUUGGAGGAUCGAAGUGUUUACGUGGUUGAGAACAGGAAAAUGCUUUAAAAAAAUCCAAACAUUUAAUAUAUCAACAAGAUUUCUGAGAGGACGUAUUCCUGAGACAUAGAAAUGGUUUUAAUUUUAUGAGUAUGAGUGUUUUGCCUGUAUGUAUAUAUGUAUACCAUGUUUAUGCCUGCUGCCCAUGGAAGCCAGAAGAGAAAGGUGGAUCCUCUAGAACCAG